rnacentral:rRNA from 1 species
UGGAGAAUCUUGCACAAUGGGCGAAAGCCUGAUGCAGCAACGCCGCGUGCGGGAAGAAGGCCCUAGGGUUGUAAACCGCUUUCAGCAGGGAAGAAACUGACGGUACCUGUAGAAGAAGGUGCGGCCAACUACGUGCCAGCAGCCGCGGUGACACGUAGGCACCAAGCGUUGUCCGGAUUUAUUGGGCGUAAAGAGCUCGUAGGCGGUUCGGUAAGUCGGGUGUGAAAACUCAGGGCUCAACCCAGAGCCGCCACCUGAUACUGCUGUGACUCGAGUGCGGUAGGGGAGCGGGGAAUUCCUGGUGUAGCGGUGAAAUGCGCAGAUAUCAGGAGGAACACCAGUGGCGAAGGCGCCGCUCUGGGCCGUGACUGACGCUGAGGAGCGAAAGCGUGGGUAGCAAACAGGAUUAGAUACCCUGGUAGUCCACGCCGUAAACGUCGGGCACUAGGUGUGGGUCUCAACCAACGAGAUCCGCGCCGUCGCUAACGCUAAG